GGUUAAGCGACUAAGCGUACACGGUGGAUGCCCUGGCAGUCAGAGGCGAUGAAGGGCGUGCUAAUCUGCGAUAAGCGCCGGUAAGGUGAUAUGAACCGUUAUAACCGGCGAUACCCGAAUGGGGAAACCCAGUGUGACUCGUCACACUAUCAUUAACUGAAUCCAUAGGUUAAUGAGGCGAACCGGGGGAACUGAAACAUCUAAGUACCCCGAGGAAAAGAAAUCAAAAUCAA
rnacentral:rRNA from 1 species